rnacentral:rRNA from 1 species
UACGUAGGGGGCAAGCGUUGUCCGGAUUCAUUGGGCGUAAAGAGCGUGUAGGCGGCCAGGUAGGUCGGUUGUGAAAACUGGAGGCUCAACCUUCAGAGGUCGGCCGAAACCAUCUGGCUAGAGUCCGGGAGAGGAGAGUGGAAUUCCUGGUGUAGCGGUGAAAUGCGCAGAUAUCAGGAAGAACACCCGUGGCGAAAGCGGCUCUCUGGAACGGUACUGACGCUGAGACGCGAAAAGCGUGGGGAGCGAACAGG